rnacentral:rRNA from 1 species
AGAGUUUGAUCCUGGCUCAGAUUGAACGCUGGCGGCAGGCCUAACACAUGCAAGUCGAGCGGCAGCGGGAAAGUAGCUUGCUACUUUUGCCGGCGAGCGGCGGACGGGUGAGUAAUGCCUGGGGAUCUGCCCAGUCGAGGGGGAUAACAGUUGGAAACGACUGCUAAUACCGCAUACGCCCUACGGGGGAAAGCAGGGGACCUUCGGGCCUUGCGCGAUUGGAUGAACCCAGGUGGGAUUAGCUAGUUGGUGAGGUAAUGGCUCACCAAGGCGACGAUCCCUAGCUGGUCUGAGAGGAUGAUCAGCCACACUGGAACUGAGACACGGUCCAGACUCCUACGGGAGGCAGCAGUGGGGAAUAUUGCACAAUGGGGGAAACCCUGAUGCAGCCAUGCCGCGUGUGUGAAGAAGGCCUUCGGGUUGUAAAGCACUUUCAGCGAGGAGGAAAGGUUGGUAGCGAAUAACUGCCAGCUGUGACGUUACUCGCAGAAGAAGCACCG